UACGUAGGCAGCAAGCGUUGUUCGGAGUUACUGGGCGUAAAGAGUACGUAGGCGGUUUGCUAAGUCUGGUGUGAAAUCUCCUGGCUUAACUGGGAGGGUGCGCUAGAUACUGGCAGGCUUGAGUAUGGGAGAGGAGAGUGGAAUUCCUGGUGUAGCGGUGAAAUGCGUAGAUAUCAGGAGGAACGCCGGUGGUGUAGACGGCUCUCUGGACCAUUACUGACGCUGAGGUACGAAAGCGUGGGUAGCAAACAGGAUUAGAAACCCUAGUAGUCC
rnacentral:rRNA from 1 species